GGCCCCAAGAGACAGGGAGGGGAAGAUGGACCUUCGAACAAGCUAAAAGAAGUGGGUUGGUUGGUUCCCUCGUCCUCGGGGCCUCGGCGACUAGCCUUUGCGGCGGCGGUGACCUCGCGGCUCGCGCUCGCUGCGGGAUCCCCGAUGACGCCUCCAUCCAACCCCGGGCACCAGCUUCGGAGGCGCAGUCUUGCCGUAUGAUUGCCCGCGGGGUCUCCUCGGCCCCCGAUCUCUCCCGCCGACACGAGGUCGCUGACUAAAGAAUGAAUCAAUUGGGGAGCAAUGCAUGUGCAGUGGAGGAAGACCGUUGAGGAGGUGAGUGCGAGAAGAAAGCCCAGGAAGAAGGGGCGGUCAGGGCCAGUCUUCUCCAGAGCAGCAGGAGAAGAAGGUACCUGUUCUCAAUUUUGUGUUGCUCGUAUGGCUUUGUCUAGGAGCAGCAGACAGGCAGAGUUUUUGUAUUCAGCUAAACUUCCUGCACUAAAAGCUAUUGUAUUGCUCUAUUUCGAUGGAUCUCAAAAUUGCGUGCUACGAUUGAGGAACAGGGAAGGGAAUUUGUUGGGGCACGGACAGAUUGUGUACGCUUGAGAUGAUUGAAUUGUUUAGGUUUACUCUUUUUUAACCUCCGACAUGAUCUGAUGGUUAACCAAUGAUAUUAGUUCAUAUUGUUGAGUAGGCCUAGUAAAGGGCAUGUAACAGUCAGCAAAAAUCAAGUUGCACUAUUCAUAUAGGAACCUAUGAGAAAUCGCA